GUGGAUUUGGUGCUUUAUUCAAAUGCAGCUGAGAACAGGUGAGUCUUCAACCUGGAUUUAAAUAAACAGUGUUUCAGCUGAUCUGAGGCUUUCUGGGAGUUUGUUCCAGAUUUAACAACCCUCAGAGGUCCUUAGGGACAUUUAUUGUCUUUUGCAUUUUUAAUUUUAAACCAUUUUCACUGUGUUGAGUGGAAUAUAGCCAAAUUUGUCAAAGAAUUUUCUUUUUAAUUAUAUUUUAUAAUUGUGGUGUAAAUUCAUUGAAUUAGCCUAAAAUGGCUAAGCUACAGAGAUGCAUCCACCUUAGUCUCUUCGGACAAAAAUGUCCCCAUUGACUUCCAUUAUAAACGCUAUUUUUCACUGCAGAAUUAUUACCGUUAAUGUCUUGGUGAUUACUUAUGUUUCCGUUUCGUUUUGUACUAUGGGCCUUAGAGUUGUAAUUUUUUUAUUUGUCCACCUGGUGGCGCCCUUGCUCCACAUUUGACCCCGGGCUGGAAAACAGCGGGCUGCUUAGACAGACCUGCGGGAAAUGAAGCCUCAUUUCCGGCGUGCAGUAGCGGCUUCGCCCGCUGAUCGGGCGGGACCAUUUUCGGUCCCUAGGGCCGUGAGAGGGUGCUUUUUUUUUUUUUUAGUCAACAGGAAAUGACGUAUUUGUUGUCACGUGGUAUCGGACGUACGUGCUGGAAAAAGGAGUCCCCGGUAAUCGUCGCGACUUACCCCGGGAAGAUGCACUUAUUUCGGCCUAGAGGAGCAUUUGCCGCCUGGAGACCAUUUUCUGGUCCUGAAAAAAAAAAAAAAAAAAGGCAAUCGAAAUGAAUGUUGGUGCCAAUCUUUAGUCCAUCUAAAGGCCUAAUUAUAAUAACAAUUGAAUAUUACCUCAAAUGUUUUUUUUUGGAAAAUAUUCAGUUUUAUGUUUUUUGGGGCAAAAAAAAGCAGUGCGCUCAUGUGACGAAACCGGGAUAUAAAGGGUUAAAAUCCGCGAAAUGUAAUUAAAACUUGACAUGAAUAUUUCAAGGAGAAGUAGUUUUAAAAGACUGACCAAUUUAAAGUGAAAAAAAAAUUAAUAUUUAAUAUU
ensembl:lncRNA